rnacentral:rRNA from 1 species
UACAGAGGUCUCAAGCGUUGUUCGGAUUCAUUGGGCGUAAAGGGUGCGUAGGUGGCGAGGCAAGUCAGAUGUGAAAUCCCGGGGCUCAACCCCGGAACUGCAUUUGAAACUGCCUUGCUCGAGUACUGGAGAGGAGACUGGAAUUUACGGUGUAGCAGUGAAAUGCGUAGAUAUCGUAAGGAAGACCAGUGGCGAAGGCGAGUCUCUGGACAAUUACUGACACUGAGGCACGAAGGCCAGGGGAGCAAACGGG